rnacentral:rRNA from 1 species
UAACACGUGGGUAACCUGCCUGUAAGACUGGGAUAACUCCGGGAAACCGGGGCUAAUACCGGAUGGUUGUUUGAACCGCAUGGUUCAGACAUAAAAGGUGGCUUCGGCUACCACUUACAGAUGGACCCGCGGCGCAUUAGCUAGUUGGUGAGGUAACGGCUCACCAAGGCGACGAUGCGUAGCCGACCUGAGAGGGUGAUCGGCCACACUGGGACUGAGACACGGCCCAGACUCCUACGGGAGGCAGCAGUAGGGAAUCUUCCGCAAUGGACGAAAGUCUGACGGAGCAACGCCGCGUGAGUGAUGAAGGUUUUCGGAUCGUAAAGCUCUGUUGUUAGGGAAGAACAAGUGCCGUUCAAAUAGGGCGGCAC